rnacentral:ncRNA from 1 species
UUCACGGAGAGUUUGAUCCUGGCUCAGGACGAACGCUGGCGGCGUGCUUAACACAUGCAAGUCGAACGAUGAACCACUUCGGUGGGGAUUAGUGGCGAACGGG